rnacentral:lncRNA from 1 species
UAUCUACAUAUGAUGUUUAUACAUAUUUGUGUAUACAUUGAGUGUUAAAUUAUAUUUGGCAUCAGUAACAGAAUAUAUUGAUGUACGCUUGAUUCAAACCCUUAUUCCAACAAUAAUUUGCAUUACCUAGCUUUCAACAAAGGGAAACAUUGUCCAUUCUCUUCCUAAAGCAAGUAAGACCGCUACUACGGAUAAUAUCCCCGGCCAGUAAUUAUCAAGGCAAGGUUGGUGAUAGCCUCAGGUAACUAAGUGAUUAUCAUCUCCACGUUUUAUAUAUGUACAUGGCAUCAAGCCUUCAGCUAGCACACAUUCUAGGAUGAACAUGGAUUUGUCAUCCGGUGGCCUUGAAAAU